GUGAAUCAUCAAAUUUUUGAACGCAAAUUGCACUCUCUUCGGAGAGUAGGCCUGUUUGGGGGUCAGCCUAUGAAAUAUCGACAUCGUUGCUGUUUCGCGGUGGCUUUCGUCGGAGAUUGGGUCAUCUUAAAUCCUUUUGAUUUAAGCGACUUAAAAUUUUCUUUUGGUUCCAUGAACGUUUCUAUGCUCUAUUUCUUUACACGUUUACG
rnacentral:misc_RNA from 1 species